rnacentral:rRNA from 1 species
AUUGAACGCUGGCGGCAGGCCUAACACAUGCAAGUCGCGCGAGCGGCGGACGGGUGAGUAAUGUAUGGGAAUCUGCCUGAUGGAGGGGGAUAACUACUGGAAACGGUAGCUAAUACCGCAUACCCUCAGAUGAACCCAUAUGGGAUUAGCUUGUAGGUGAGGUAACGGCUCACCUAGGCGACGAUCCCUAGCUGGUCUGAGAGGAUGAACAGCCACACUGGGACUGAGACACGGCCCAGACUCCUACGGGAGGCAGCAGUGGGGAAUAUUGCACAAUGGGCGCAAGCCUGAUGCAGCCAUGCCGCGUGUAUGAAGAAGGCCUUCGGGUUGUAAAGUACUUUCAGUCGUGAGGCGUUACCUAUAGAAGAAGCACCGGCGAACUCCGUGCCAGCAGCAGCGGUAAUAC